AGCGAACGCUGGCGGCAGGCCUAACACAUGCAAGUCGAACGGACCUUUCGGGGUUAGUGGCGGACAGGUGAGUAACACGUGGGAACGUGCCUUUAGGUUCGGAAUAGCUCCUGGAAACGGGUGGUAAUGCCGAAUGUGCCCUUCGGGGGAAAGAUUUAUCGCCUUUAGAGCGGCCCGCGUCUGAUUAGCUAGUUGGUUGAGGUAACGGCUCACCAAGGCGACGAUCAGUAGCUGGUCUGAGAGGAUGGCCAGCCACAUUGGGACUGAGACACGGCCCAAACUCCUACGGGAGGCAGCAGUGGGGAAUCUUGCGCAAUGGGCGAAAGCCUGACGCAGCCAUGCCGCGUGAAUGAUGAAGGUCUUAGGAUUGUAAAAUUCUUUCACCGGGGACGAUAAUGACGGUACCCGGAGAAGAAGCCCCGGCUAACUUCGUG
rnacentral:rRNA from 1 species